rnacentral:tRNA from 1 species
GGGCCGGUAGCUCAGCCUGGUAGAGCACAUCACUUUUAAUGAUGUGGUCGCGAGUUCGAAGCUUUACAAAGAAAAUCUCGUCCGGCCCA